GUUUCACGUUACACCUUCCCCCUUAUACAAAAAGGUGUUUACAUAAAACAGCUUUUUCAUUCAAAACAUUGCUCCUUAAUAACGUGAAAAGUAUAAUCGCAAGUUUACAAGGCAACAACGAUCUAAUUCAGUCUUCGGUAAUAUCAUCUAGCCGUAUACACGCCAAUUUUAGUUUGUUGAUUUCGCGCAGCCAUAGUCUGUGUGGUGGUGAUUUUAUUGAAAAGCUCAUCAAAAUGCUGU